rnacentral:snRNA from 1 species
ACAAAAACCUUCACUGUCCAACCACCAAGGUGGUUUUCCCAGGGUGAGGUCUGUCCUUUGCACUCCAGGCAGGAUGACCCUUAUGAGUUUCCCCAAAUGUAGGCAUCUUGACUGCACAACUUUGUGAUAAUGGAGGAAUGUGUUCAUACUUUUCCCCU